UGGGGAAUAUUGGACAAUGGGGGAAACCCUGAUCCAGCGAUGCCGCGUGAAUGAAGAAGGCCUUAGGGUUGUAAAGUUCUUUCACCUGUGACGAUGAUGACGGUAACAGGAGAAGAAGCCCCGGCUAACUCCGUGCCAGCAGCCGCGGUAAGACGGAGGGGGCUAGCGUUGUUCGGAAUGACUGGGCGUAAAGGGCGCGUAGGCGGCUUAUCAAGUCAGGUGUGAAAGCCUUGGGCUUAGCCCAAGAAUUGCGCUUGAUACUGAUAAGCUAGAGGAUGAUAGAGGAAAGCGGAAUUCCUAGUGUAGAGGUGAAAUUCGUAGAUAUUAGGAAGAACACCAGAGGCGAAGGCGGCUUUCUGGAUCAUAUCUGACGCUGAGGCGCGAAAGCGUGGGGAGCAAACA
rnacentral:rRNA from 1 species